CCACCGCCCCGCCCCCCCUUUGUCCUCUGCCCUAGCCGGCCUAUUGGGCCGGCCUGUUCCCAACGGGCCACAACCAUGCCACCCACCUCCUGGACUGAAUAAGUGGUGGGCCGAAAAAUAAAUUAUUUCGGCCCAACACCCAGUUAUCUUUUUAUUUAUUCAGUACUUUAGUAAAUUUGCUUUAUAAUUCCUGUCAUUAGAACUUUUUACUUACGGCAAAUAACCAGAGAUAUUAUAUUUGCUUUUAGCACCAUGUAAUUCGCUGUUCUUAUAUAUAUCAGUUUGUUUACAUCACUUCAAAUAUUCCAAUGAAGUUUAUGUUUACCAGUUCUUUAAUUA
rnacentral:lncRNA from 1 species